AGCAAUAGUAGCAGCCUCACCAUUGC
rnacentral:sRNA from 1 species